GUUCGGGUUGUCAUGCCAAUGGCACUGCCCGGUAGCUAAAUGCGGAAGAGAUAAGUGCUGAAAGCAUCUAAGCACGAAACUUGCCCCGAGAUGAGUUCUCCCUGAGACUUUAAGUCUCCUGAAGGAACGUUAAAGACGAUGACGUUGAUAGGCCGGGUGUGUAAGCGCAGCGAUGCGUUGAGCUAACCGGUACUAAUGAACCGUGAGGCUUAACCUUACAACGCCGAAG
rnacentral:rRNA from 1 species